AUGGCAAAAGCUAAACCAAAAAUUGGUUCACGUAAGAAAGUGCGUAUUGGUUUACGUAGGAAUGCACGUUUUAGUUUGCACGUAGAAUAACAAAAAGGUACUUGUGGAUUCAAAAGCUCAAGAAAAGCAUCACCCUAUGCUGGUCAAAGAACAGGAGUAGAUGCUAUUCGUACAGUAGGUUUGCAACGAGCAGAAGUUAUGGUAAAGGGCGCUGGUAGUGGAAGAGAUGCCGCAUUACGAGCUAUUGCUAAAAGUGGUGUGCGAUUAAGUUGUAUACGCGAUGUAACAACUAUGCCGCAUAAUGGAUGUCGACCGCCUAAAAAAAGACGUCUGUAA
rnacentral:rRNA from 1 species